CCUUUUCAAAUUAGAAAACAUAGUUUUUUAUUUUUGUUUUCAUGAAUAUAUACCAAGUUUUUGUUUUCGUUAACAUGAAUUUAUACCAUGUUUUUGUUUGUAAAACAUAUCUUCUUCAUAUUUUAUUUUUAAAUCUAAUUUCUUUAUAAAAUGAAAACUAGUCUAGCGUUCGGAUCCGAUGAAAACAGGUGAGGAUCCCAUGAACGUUGGUUUUAUAGCUUCUUUACAAAGGUUUGUUCGAAAUAUAAGUUGUUUAUAUGAUUUGAAAUUGGCUUCGCGUUCGGAUACGAUGAAAACCGUCGAGGAUCCCAUGAACGAACAGAAGGGUUGGUUUAAUACGUUCCUUUCAAAGUUUUGAUUCGAAAAUUAAGUUAUUUAUAUGAUUUGAAACUGGCCUCGCGUUCGGAUCCGUUGAAAUCCGUCGAGGAUCCCAUGAACGAACGGAAGGGUUUGUUUUAUACGUCCCUUACAAAGAUUUAAUUCGAAAUAUAAGUUGUUUAUAUGAUUUGAAACUGGCCUCGCGUUCGGAUCCGAUGAAAACCAUCGAGGAUCCCAUGAACGAGUAGACGGGUUGGUUUUAAACGCUCUUUACAAAGUUUUUUUUGAAAUAUAAGUUGUUUAUAUGAGUUGAAACUAGCCUCGCGUUCGGCUCCUAUGAAAACAAUCGAGGAUCCCAUGAACGAACAGAAGGGUUGGUUUUAAACGUUAUUUACAAAGCUUUUGUUUGAAAUAUAAGUUUUUUGUAUGAUUUUUUAACAGGACUCGCGUUCGGAUCCGAUGGAAGCCGUCGACGAUCCCAAGAACUAACAAAAGAAUUGGUUUUAUACGUUCUCAAUUGGUCUUUCAUGAUGCCCUUUGCGGCUCUUGUUCGCCAUCUUUCUUCUCCCUUUCCCCUUUCUUACGACUUGAAUCUCCAGAGUUUUUGUACCCCAAGGAAAAACUGGUUCGUUUUCUGGAAUGGGCACUGUAUUUUUAUACAAUUAUCAUUUGUUAAAAAAUUGUUUUAAUUUAUAAUAUUUUCAUAGCUAUAAUAAAAUGAAUAAUUACCUUUAAGGUUUUUUAGUAAUUCCUCAUUGAUUAUUUGCCUGAAGUGAUAAUUCAACCGUUGUUCCUGUAGCUCGAGGAAUCUAGCUCUUGCAGACACAUUGUCUUCUGGUGGUUCUAUAAAUGGAGUAUUAGCGGUCCUAAGCUGAGCCAACGCGCGAAAUUGAGCCAGUUUGCUCUGGAAAAUUGUCAGUUUAUUAGUAUAAUUUAGAUAAUUUCUAUUUGAAUUACUUAAAUUUAAAUUAUUACCUCACAUCUUCCUACAUGGCUUCUUCUCUCGGCUGGUAGCAAUUCAGUCAGAUCCUUUCCACAAAAAAUCACAUUGCAUGUUGAAUCCAUCUGUAUCAUGCAUUAUCAUUAAUUAAAAUGAAAUACAUUUUAAUAAUAAAUGCUUGUAAUUAGCAUUCGAAUCACAAAAGAAUAAGCAUGUAACAUUUAUCACAUCAAUUUUUACCAUUUUAUCACGUAAAGUUAUCAAAUUGCCCCAUUUAUUAUAUUUUGACCUUCUUACUGCGAUUACAGCCCCAGCAAAAUACUGUAAAUUUUUACUAAUUUGCGAAUAUUUGAUGUUAUUAAUAGUAUUUGCAAUUUACUUGAUUGAAAUUCCUAAAUUAAGAAAAUUUGGAAACAGUAACAUAGAAUAUUCAAUCAAAUUUCACCAUUUUUUCAUGUGAAGUCAUCAGAUCACACCAUUUAUUAUAUUCUAAUUAUUCAUCAAGCAUUGGAAUUCAAAUAAAACCUAAUAAUCAUAAAUAAUUUUUCAUAUAUGAACUGUUUUUCAUUGCGAUCACAGCCUCAGCAAAAAGUCACAGGAAACUGUUACUAAUCUUUUAACAUCGCAUUUCAUGAAUCUUAAAUUCUUUAAUUUACAUGAUUGAAAUUCAAAAAUCAAGAAAAUGUGGAACCAGAAAGAUACCUGUAGAUUCUUUUUUGACCUUGAUCACAGCUUCAGCAAAAAUCUACGGGAAACUUUUACUAAUCUGCCAAUAUUUGAUGUUAUUAAUCUUUGAUUCGUAAUGUACUUGAUUGAAAUUCAAAAAUCAAGAAAAUGUGAAACAGUAACAUACCAGUAGAUUCUUUAUUUGACCUUGAUCACAGCUUCAGCAAAAAUCUACAGGAAACUUUGACUAAUCUGCCAAUAUUUGAUGAUAUUAAUCUCAAAUUCGCAAUGUACUUGAUUGAAAUUCAAAAAUCAAGAAACUGUGGAAACAUUAACAUACCUGUAGAUUCUUUAUUUUACCUUGAUGAGAGCGAAUCAGAUUAAAGAAGGAUAAAAUAUAAUCUACUCGCUAAACUAUAUCUGAUAAGAACUUGAGCUUAUAUACUACCUAAAAAAGUAACUGCCUCUUUCUGAUUGGUUAUUUUCAGUAGUCACACAGAUUGCUGAUUUAUUGACAGCUGUGAAAUAUUGACAGCUGUGAAAUUCUAUGCAGAUAAAUUCUUUAGAUACUUUUAUGACCUUGCUGAGAGGGAAUCAGAUUGAAGAAGGAGAAAAUUGAAUCAAGUAGCUAAACAGUUUUAGAUAAGAACUUGAGCUUAUAUACUACCUAAAAUAUAACUGCCUCUUUGUAAUUCGUUACACAGAUUGCUUCGGUAUUGACAGCUGUGAAAUAUUGACAGCUGUGAAAUUCUAUGCAGAGAAAAUCUGUUAAUCAAAAUGAUAAAAAGGUCCCUUUAUUAGAAACAGUAACAUAGCUUUAUUUGUUUUUAAAGAUUUUUAUAUUAUUUUGUAACUUAGAAGGGUCUCUAUAGUUUCAAUAAACGAAUUGUUAAUCUUGUAACUUUAAUUUUCUUUAUGAUUUUUCUAAACAUUAUUGUUCUUUUCAAGCUAACCAUGCAAUUUUACCGUAUCUUUAUUAUGUCUAAACGACGACGUAUUGUAUGAAAAACCUAUUUAUUGUUGUGUAUCGGGACAACUAUCACUACAACAAAACAGAGCAAUAGAGGCGGUUUUAUAGGGGCGGUUAUACGGAAAGCCCCUAUGAGGAGUACUAUUUAAAAACUAAGCCUUUUUAUAGGGGCGGAACGAGUACUCGCCCCUAUUAAUGUGUAUCGUAGGGUCGGUUUGAUAAGUCUAGGGGCAGUUUUUAAAUUAAUGUAACUUUAACAAUCAAUUUUUUUUCCCCUCGCCUCUCAGCUCGUAGACUGCCCCCUAAAUAUGAUUCCUCUCUCAAUGGCGAUCAUCUUCUUCUUCUUCUUCGUUCAAGUUCUCUUCAUCCUCUCAGCUCGUGACCUAAUGGUGGUGACCUAAUUCUCAAAACGAUCUGCUCUCCAAUGGCGGAUCUGAUUUGUUCACUUCACUUCUCCCGAUUUUACUAGUAGAUUUAGGUUUCUGAUUUCACUUCACUAGUAGAUUUAGGUCGUGAUUUCACUAGCAGCUGCUCUCGUAAUUCACUUCUCACUGAAUCGAAGGUAACAUUGCUCUCUCCUUGGAAUCGUAGGUUUGUUGUGUUGUUGACUUUGUGGAACUUUGUAGAAAUACUCAUCCAAACAGGGAAUUUGUUGAAGAGGCUAACAAGGCAUCGAUGGGAAUCAAUGAAUAUCUACAUGUGAGGCAACACAACAUGUUGUUUCUCAAGUUCCUUUGACUACAAAUGAGGAAUUUAGAGCUGCAGUAUUUGCAGCAAAGCGGGCACUUCCAGUAGAGAAACACACCAAUUACCACCCGUCAACGAAUUAUGUUCAGAUUCCAAGAGCUUAUUCGGAGGGACAUGGAUAAGCUGACAAUGAGCAUUACUACCGAGCAUGGAAAGGCUUUGAAAGACGCAUAUAAUGAUGUAUCACGCGGACUAGGUUAGUUUCUUUUAUUUUCUAUGUAUGAACAUUCUCAUUUGUGAUCCUUGUGGUCUACAAAGUUUUGGAUGUUCACUGGUAGAGGUGGUGGAACAUGCUUGCGAAUUGGCUUCUCUGCAAAUUGGAGAAUUUGUUUCCAACAUCUCUAAUGGGACGGAUACCUAUAGCAUUAGGGAACCACUUGGCGUAUGUGCUGGAAUUUGGCCAUUCGAGUAUUCAGCAAUAAUCCCACUAUGGCUGUUUCCUGUUGCUAUAACAUGUGGAAAUACUUUUAUUUUAAAGCCACCAUAGAAGGAUCCAGGAUGGUCAUUCUUCAAGUUAGUUAGUUUGAAAGUCAACCCAACUCUUCAUUUUUGUCCAUUCAGCGGGCACACCAUUAUCUCUACUAGCACCGUCUGCACCGGGACUAUCUGUUGGCAAUUUGUGUUGAAUUAUCUAGAUUUUUUCUUAGUUAUCAUAUAUUGUUAUUACUUCCAUUGGCAAGAGACUAGAAAUUGUCUUGUUAUAAUUCAGUUUGGCACUAAAUAUAAAUAUUUGUAGAUUAUUAUGAUUAUUAAGAAAGCAUUGUUGUUCAUA